GAUGAACGCUGGCGGCGUGCUUAACACAUGCAAGUCGAACGGUGAAAGAGAGCUUGCUCUCUGGCUCAGUGGCGAACGGGUGAGUAACACGUGAGCAAUCUGCCCCUGACUCUGGGAUAAGCGCUGGAAACGGCGUCUAAUACCGGAUACGAGCUGCGAAGGCAUCUUCAGCAGCUGGAAAGAACUUCGGUCAGGGAUGAGCUCGCGGCCUAUCAGCUAGUUGGUGAGGUAACGGCUCACCAAGGCGUCGACGGGUAGCCGGCCUGAGAGGGUGACCGGCCACACUGGGACUGAGACACGGCCCAGACUCCUACGGGAGGCAGCAGUGGGGAAUAUUGCACAAUGGGCGAAAGCCUGAUGCAGCAACGCCGCGUGAGGGACGACGGCCUUCGGGUUGUAAACCUCUUUUAGCAGGGAAGAAGCGAAAGUGACGGUACCUGCAGAAAAAGCACCGGCUAACUACGU
rnacentral:rRNA from 1 species